GAUGAACGCUGGCGGCGUGCCUAAUACAUGCAAGUCGAGCGAACAGACGAGGAGCUUGCUCCUCUGACGUUAGCAGCGGACGGGUGAGUAACACGUGGAGAACCUACCUAUAAGUCUGGGAUAACUUCGGGAAACCGGAGGUACUACUGGAUAAUAUAUUGAACCGCAUGGUUCAAUAGUGAGAGACGGUUUUGCUGUCUCUUAUAGAUGGAUCCGCGCUGCAUUAGCUAGUUGGUAAGGUAACGGCUUACCAAGGCAACGAUGCGUAGCCGACCUGAGAGGGUGAUCGGCCACACUGGAACUGAGACACGGUCCAGACUCCUACGGGAGGCAGCAGUAGGGAAUCUUCCGCAAUGGGCGAAAGCCUGACGGAGCAACGCCGCGUGAGUGAUGAAGGUCUUCGGAUCGUAAAACUCUGUUAUUAGGGAAGAACAAAUGUGUAAGUAACUAUGCACGUCUUGACGGUACCUAAUCAGAAAGCCACGGCUAACUACGUG
rnacentral:rRNA from 1 species